GAUGAACGCUGGCGGCGUGCCUAAUACAUGCAAGUCGAGCGAACAGACGAGGAGCUUGCUCCUCUGACGUUAGCGGCGGACGGGUGAGUAACACGUGGAUAACCUACCUAUAAGACUGGGAUAACUUCGGGAAACCGGAGCUAAUCCCGGAUAAUAUAUUGAACCGCAUGGUUCAAUAGUGAAAGACGGUUUUGCUGUCACUUAUAGAUGGAUCCGCGCCGCAUUAGCUAGUUGGUAAGGUAACGGCUUACCAAGGCAACGAUGCGUAGCCGACGUGAGAGGGUGAUCGGCCACACGGGAACGGAAACACGGUCCAGGCUCCUACGGGAGGCAGCAGUAGGGAAUCUUCCGCAAUGGGCGAAAGCCUGACGGAGCAACGCCGCGUGAGUGAUGAAGGUCUUCGGAUCGGAAAACUCUGUUAUUAGGGAAGAACAAAUGUGUAAGUAACUAUGCACGUCUUGACGGUACCUAAUCAGAAAGCCACGGCUAACUACGUG
rnacentral:rRNA from 1 species